rnacentral:lncRNA from 1 species
AUAGUUUCUGGACGUUUUUGACUGCGCUUCAUUUGUUGUGUAGGGGCCACAGCAGAUCGAAUUUUUGUUGCGUGAAAGUGUGGGUUUCCGCUAGCACUGGGACUGUGGUGACCUCGCAUUGCACUUGGCUGUGGCUGUCGGUGCGUUGCCGUCCGACAUUGGGGGACUGUAUCUGCAGGCUGAGGCGCUUAGGCGCAUGUAGUGGGUGGGGAUCGGCAGCACCCGCUAGCGUGAGGAAGAGGUCUGGGUGCAGAUUUUUUGGGAAAACACUCGGAUAAGAAGACAUCAGAAGGAAGAUGACACGGAUCCCUAUGGAACAUGGUUCGCUGGCACUCAGGGCCGUUUGUAUUUCCUACGUUAGGGACACUUGCCUGGUGGAGGUCGGUCUGUCAUGGACCUGAGGGAGAUGUUUCUGCUGUUUUUUGUGUGUAGGAUCAAUAACCGCAUAGAGGUGAGCGCGUGUGGCAGGUAAUGGAUACUGUUCACGGAAGACCAGGGUGAUGGGGGGCUCCCUCCUCUGAAGGGUGAACCCACAUGUGCCUACCGGGGUGGAGGCCAGCUACCACAGCCCAACGUGGCACGAGAUGUAGAUGGUGAACGGCGAAGGUGUGCUAGCAUCUUCCAGUUCGCGACAUUUCUACACCUGUCCCUGGGGCUGAUGUCGUGGUUUGCACUGCGACGAUCACCUAGCGGGGCAAGCUACUGUACAUAUAUCACCAAUUUCAGCGCAUUCGUAAGAUGAAUAUGCCUCAGAGGAGGCUACCGAGUGGAAUGGCACAUGACCAUCUUGGUUUUUGGUAUUGGGCGGACGUGCCACAGACAUCGAUUACUUCUAUAUUUUCCUACAGGUUCUGUAGGUGGAAGUGCGUAAUAAUUGGGCUCGGUGUUCCUCGCUACCAAUUGACCGAAGCUGGACACCCGUUGAAAGGCACGGGUGCAUUAGUGUGACAAUCGGCAACUUAUUUCCGGCGGCUGGCCACUCGGCAGUGUACCCCAUGGACGCGCAUUGCGUUUCUUCACGGUCGGCCUUACGGCGCGUCCGACAUUUUUUUCUCUGUGCUGCAACAUAGAUUUUGUGUUGAUAGGAUUCAGUGUCGCCUUCUCCAGCAUGAAUAUUGUCAACCGCGUUCAUUGCGGCUCACCUACGAGGUCACGAAAAUGAUGAUCGGCAGGGAUGGCGUCUUAGUGGGUUAAUUGCAGAGGUUCUAUUUUCGGUUGGAAGGUUGCUUAUUAAAUUGCCCAUUUCUUCAAGACUGCGAAUUCUCGGGUGUCGGUUUAAAAGAUAAUAGUGUCAGUUAACUUUAGGCUGUGUUACUUCCCUCUGUUUCAGCAGCUGCGAACGCACGCUGCCUCGGGUAUCGCCGACGAUGUCAAGUUCCGCAUUUCCAGACGAGCAGAACCGGUUGAUUGCGGCGCGCAUGGCCGAAGGAAUCGACGUGCUCCAUUUUACUCUCGCGUUUGCCGUACGGAAUGGGGGGCCAACAGGUUGUUUGCGUCUUCGUGCACGACGCAGGGGUACGGGCGGUACUCGCUUUUAUCUCCUGGCAUCUUUACGUAGCAUACUAAUUGGUUUUAGGCUGCGAGCGGUGUUCCCUUAUCCACUAGUGAAUACAUCUGUGCCAUGUGCCACUGAUAAACAGCCGCCGUUUCGUUUCUGUGUCCGCCUUAGCGGCUCAAUAGAAUUUUUAUCUAUUUUUGAGGAGGACGUGUAAAACGUACCCACGUUGGUGCCUGGACCCUAAAUCGUUAUUCAUGAGAGUCGUAGAGUUCACGACCAUGUAUUUUUCGUAUGUGAUGUGUUACGACACCGAAUGUGCAACGGUGUGUUUCAUUGGCGGACAUGGUGGCAAGACUAAGAGCUCUGGAUUAUCUAUUUGCGUAUAACUUGCCAGUGCUGACCUUAAGCGUGUUGCUUGCGUCCCUCCCUGGUAUGUGUGUGCCUCUGCACACAAUAAUCCGACGGAUUUGUUCU